GAUUAAGUAGGGACAAAUACUUAGUUAUUUCUGGAUAGAAACUGAAAUGGGGAUAAUCUACAAGUUUUAAAGUGAACAUGCAAAUUUGUUCAGUGAUUCAAAGAAGGAAUGAGCAUUCACAUUCCUCUCUUCCACACUUUCCCUAGAGUGGGAACAGAAGCGCCUUGGUUGUAGAGUUGCAACGCAAGUGCUUACUUGGAGCCCUCUUUGAUUUGUGAGCAUUGGAUAUGCAAGAUCUAGGUUUAAGGCAUCAGCUUCGGUUUGAUUAUCUAGGUUUGAUCUCCCUGUUACUAGUUAGCAGAUUUGUGGUUAUUCUCAGAAUUCUGUAAUUUAAUUUCAUCACGAUUGAGCAGAACCAAGACAGAGUAUGUGGAAUGUAAGUUUAAUGACGUAAGGCGAGAGAAUGAGGUAGUGGUGAGGCUAGAAGCGCAGGAGGUAAAGAAAAGGGAUAAGUUCAAGUACCUCGGGUCCGUGAUCCAGAGUAACGGUGAGAUUGACGAGGAUGUCUCGCACCGUAUCGGGGCGGGAUGGAUGAAGUGGAAACUUGCAUCGGGGGUGCUGUGUGAUAAGAAGGUGCCGCCCAAGCUUAAAGGUAAAUUCUAUAGGGUGGUAGUCCGUCCGGCCUUGCUGUAUGGAGCGGAGUGUUGGCCAGUUAAGAACUGGUGUUUUGUGGGUCUUGCCAGAUUCAUAUCUAGAUGUCCCCAGCAAGGAUUAU
rnacentral:lncRNA from 1 species